rnacentral:tRNA from 1 species
GCAUAGCUCACUUGGUUAGAGUGUGGUGCUGAUAAUGCCAAGGUUGCAGGUUCAAACCCCGUGUGAGGCA